rnacentral:tRNA from 1 species
GCCGGUGUGUCGGAAUUGGCAGACGAGACAGACUCAAAAUCUGUUGUCAGCAAUGGCGUGUGGGUUCGAGUCCCACCACCGGCACCA